GGCACCCUAUGUUGGUGGUGUGGUGUAGCUCAGUUGUGGUGAUGCCCUUGUGGGACCUUGGUUGCUAGUCGGUUUCCAGCUGGAUUGAGGGGUGCCCCUCUGAACUCCCAGGUCAAAGAAUUACCACUAAGGUGGUAUCAUUGGCAACCUUCUUCUUGAUAAAGCCUUGCCCACAAUGUUAACAUUAAAAGUACUAGUUGCGAGAGAUUUGUAGAGGUUCAAUUCUGAAGCCAGGGCUGCCACAAGUGGUUUGGGGGGGCUUCGCUCUGAUGGAGCCAGAAUGUCUGCUGAUACUAUACAUGUGUCGCAUAUGCGUACCCUGGGAUCAAAAUUGGAUAAGUUUAAAAAAAAAUCAAAUUUUAUAGUGGUUUUUUUUUCCAGCUCACAUUUCAUCAGAUUCAUUGUAGUUGCGCUGCCAAUGAUGGAUUUCCCAGAAGAAGAUUUAGGGGGAAAACCUGACACAAGGCCAAAUGAGUCAACAAAUCUAACUGUACCCAAAACUGAGGAUAAGGUCAUAAUACCGGAGUCAUACUCACCUGGUUUCAGCUUUAGGAAGCUAUGGGCUUUCACAGGUCCAGGAUUUUUAAUGAGCAUAGCAUAUUUGGACCCAGGAAAUAUAGAGUCAGAUUUAAAAUCCGGAACGACAGCAAAAUAUAGGUUACUAUGGGUGUUAAUGUGGUCCACUGUUCUUGGAUUAGUUAUGCAAAGAUUAUCCGCUCGGCUGGGUGUCGUCACAGGACUUCAUUUGGCUGAAUUGUGUUAUCGCCAGUAUAAAACUAUACCAAGAAUUUUCUUAUGGAUAAUGAUGGAGAUCGCUAUCAUAGGUUCCGACAUGCAAGAAGUGAUAGGAACUGCGAUAGCCAUUUAUCUCCUCUCAAACAAAACAAUACCGCUCUAUGGAGGUGUGCUUAUUACAGUGAUAGAUACAUUUACAUUUUUAUUGUUAGACAAAUAUGGUUUAAGAAAGUUAGAAUUUUUCUUUGGUUUUUUGAUCACUGUAAUGGCGAUAACUUUCGGAUACGAGUUUUUUAUCGUCAAGCCUGACACAGUUGAAGUUCUGAAAGGCCUGGCUAUACCUUGGUGUGAAAAUUGCAAUUCUGAUAUGAUGUUGCAAGCGAUUGGAAUAAUUGGUGCUGUGAUAAUGCCUCACAAUCUCUACCUUCAUUCAGGCCUUGUUAAAUCCCGACAAGUUGACAGAACAAAAAGAGAAAAAGUGAAGGAUGCAAAUUAUUAUUUUUUUAUUGAAGCAUGUAUCGCCUUGUUUGUUUCGUUUAUAAUUAACGUUUUUGUCGUUGCUGUCUUUGCUCAUGGUCUGUAUGGUAAACGAAAUUCAGAUGUGUUUCAAGUCUGCAAUGCAACCAACAUAGACCCCGAUGUAUUCCAGAAUAAUACAAAUCUAGCUUAUGAAAAUGUUCAUAUAUACUCUGGAGGAAUUUUCCUCGGUUGCCAGUUCGGCAUAGCCGCCAUGUACAUUUGGGCUAUCGGAAUACUUGCAGCUGGUCAGAGUAGUACAAUGACUGGUUGUUAUGCUGGCCAAUUUGCAAUGGAAGGGUUUUUGAAUCUACAGUGGGUCAGAUGGAAGAGAGUGCUGUUCACCAGGAUGGUUGCAAUCGUACCUACAUUUUACAUUGCUUUCUUCAGUCACAUAUCUGAUUUGAGCAACUUAAACGAUAAUCUAAAUGCUAUUAUGACACUUCAACUUCCUUUUGCCACCCUCCCAACAAUUGCAUUUACCAGCAAUCCUCGCAUAAUGGGAGAUUUUGUAAAUGGAAUUGCGAAUAAAAUAAUAGCCUGUGUUCUGAGUAUUGUUAUAAUAUCAAUUAAUUUAGGAAUGGUAGGAGUAAAUCUUACCGGAACGUGGUGGAUGAUAACAGCUCUGUCAAUUUAUUUCAUAUUAUACAUUACCAUGUGCUUAUAUUUAAUACUUCACACAGCUGCCAGCAUGAGUAGUCCUGACAGUUUCAUCAAUUCAUUAACGUUUGUUCAGCAUUAUGUACUGCGUGAAUCACCUCAUGAAUUUGACUUAGACAGAACUUAUGAAUCUUCUCUAUCUAGUGCUGAGGAAGAAUAAAUCCUGGAAUCUUUAGACAAUAACAAAAGCUAAGAUGAAGGUAUGAAGUCUUUUGCUCAGGCUAGAAUGUUAUUCAUACGAAAAAAACCACUGCAUUGCAUAUAUUCGAAAAUUUCCAUCUAAAUAUGUUUUAAAGGAAGAUGAGCCAGGUGUCAGUUGAUACAGCAAGACUUUUUGAUUCUUUCAAGGGUAAUUAUGAUAAGGAAAUAUGUUUAAUUAUAAUAUGUACUUACAGAUAAAAAAAUCUAUUUUUAUAUUUCGUUGAAAUUUUAAAUUAUAAAUAUCUGUGAUGAUUGUUCUAUUAGAUUAUUUAUAUCUCCCUGCUGUAGUGCCUUCCUAAAUCAUAAAAUUUAAGGUAGAAUAGUUUUUACAAUCUUCUAGUCAAACUUAACACCAAAGCUGAAAAUAUAAUUGUAUAUACUCCAUGGAUGUUAAGGGGAAGCAUAAUUUAAAUGUAUGUUGUAUAUAAGAAUAAUUUUUGCUAAACUUUGCUCAAAAGACAGGGAGGGCACCAAUGUUAAAAGAUAACAAAAUAAAGAUACAUUAAUAUAUAA
rnacentral:misc_RNA from 1 species